rnacentral:rRNA from 1 species
GACGAACGCUGGCGGCGUGCUUAACACAUGCAAGUCGAACGAUGAACUGGAGCUUGCUCCAGGGAUUAGUGGCGAACGGGUGAGUAACACGUGAGUAACCUGCCCUUGACUCUGGGAUAAGCGCUGGAAACGGCGUCUAAUACCGGAUACGAGCUUCAGCCGCAUGGCUAGGAGUUGGAAAGAAUUUCGGUCAAGGAUGGACUCGCGGCCUAUCAGCUAGUUGGUGAGGUAAUGGCUCACCAAGGCGACGACGGGUAGCCGGCCUGAGAGGGUGACCGGCCACACUGGGACUGAGACACGGCCCAGACUCCUACGGGAGGCAGCAGUGGGGAAUAUUGUACAAUGGGCGCAAGCCUGAUGCAGCAACGCCGCGUGAGGGAUGACGGCCUUCGGGUUGUAAACCUCUUUUAGUAGGGAAGAAGCGAAAGUGACGGUACCUGCAGAAAAAGCACCGGCUAACUACGUGCCAGCCGCCGCGGUAA